GACGAACGCUGGCGGCGUGCCUAAUACAUGCAAGUCGAACGCAGUGGGGACGGGUGCGUAACACGUGGGUAACCUACCAUCAGAGGGGAACACACUUGGAAACAGGUGCUAAACCGAUCGUGAUGGAUGGACCCGGGGUUCAUGCGCUAGUUGGUGAGGUAACGGCUCACCAAGGCCACGAUGGAGAGCCGCCCGGGGAGGGUGAUCGGCCACACUGGGACUGAGCCACGGCCCAGACUCCUACGGGAGGCAGCAGUAGGGAAUCUUCGGCAAUGGACGAGAGUCUGACCGAGCAACGCCGCGUGAGUGAAGAAGUUUUUCGGAUCGUAAAACGCUGUUGUUAGAGAAGCGGUAUCUAACCAGAAAGCCACGGCUAACUACGUGCCAGCAGCCGCGGUAAUAC
rnacentral:rRNA from 1 species